UGAGCAAUCUGCCCUUCUCUUCGGAAUAAGCGUUGGAAACGACGUCUAAUGCCGAAUACGACCUCCUUUCGCAUGAUCGGAGGUGGAAAAGCUCCGGCGGAGAAGGAUGAGCUCGCGGCCUAUCAGCUAGUUGGUGAGGUAACGGCUCACCAAGGCGACGACGGGUAGCUGGUCUGAGAGGAUGGCCAGCCACGAUUGGGACUGAGACACGGCCCAGACC
rnacentral:rRNA from 1 species